AGGAUUAUAGUUUAAAUAAAACAUUUGAUUUGCAUUCAAAAAAUAUUAUUAUAAUAAUUUAUCUUA
rnacentral:tRNA from 1 species